GGAGUGCUUCGAGUCGAGAGUUACUACGACGUCCGUGUGAAUCUUUUUUUCUUCAACUGGGUUACAAUUUAAGCCAUCCUUUUGAAAAUGGCUAAAUGCCUCGCCAUAGGAUGCCCAUCAAACUCAUCACAUGUUCAAGCUCGAUUGCAGGAAAGCUCAUACAAAUUAACUAGAUUUAUGCUAAUGCUCCUUUUCGUUUGCCAGAUAUACAUUCUGUUAUUUGAUUGUAUGGCUUCAUGCAGUAAGGAUUCAGGACAGCUGGACCGGGUGAUGACGUUCCACCACUACAGUGCCAUGUUUGCGCUCGAAGAUGUCUUUUUCGAGAUCGUGUCGCCGGAAGUGCUGCAGUACACCUACCUGAUCCAGGUGACUCGCGAUUUCGGCACCCCUUUCAACUUUACGCUGCGGGGCGCGCGCCUCGUGCCCGCCGACCCGUCGUUCGCCUGCGGACCGCUCGCCAACUGUGACGACAUCGAGGGAGGCGUCGCCUUCGUUCAGAGGGGGGAUUGUCCGUUCGUCGAGAAGGCGAUGAACGCCCAGCUCUGCGGGGCGCGCGCCGUGCUCGUGUUCGACGACGACCCGGAGAAUGUCGAACACUUCAUAGAGAUGACGUCCGAGAGCAAAACAAUGCACCCCACCAUACCCGCGGCGUUCCUGCUCGGAAAGAACGGGUACGUAAUUAUGGAGACGUUGCAGCGACUGCGGCUGAGCCAUGCCGUCAUCAACAUCCCCAUCAACGCCAGCAUGUACCACAUUCACGAGCGCAAGCAGCCGCCCUGGGUGCUCUGGUGACAUACACAGGUCAGCUCAGGACAGCCCCGCUGCCCGUGGGUGUGCCCUUGGCAAAACACCCCGAGGGACCUUCGCUGUCGCAUCAGGGCCUAAUCAACGACCAAGUCAAAUAGAUGGAGCAGCAGUGGAAGCACGCAAACAUGCCGAGGCUCUCAGAGCCUCGCUAUGCACGAGCUUCGCCCUGCUCACAGGCGGGCUGCUGCUUCCUGAUUGGUAGACCCCACCUGCCGACAAGUCAUGUGAUUGACCAGACGUGUUACCGUCCCACCGGAGUGGAUUCGAUGGGCGGAGUGUGCGGACGGUGACAUCAGAGAGAGAGAUAGUGCUGGGGUGAGGAGGGUGCUGGAUCGCGCCUUUGUAUACGCCAGUCUGGAACCUUUUGAUGUGGUUAUCUAAUGGCGUUACUGUUUCUCGUCAUUCAGAUGUGAAAAUGCACGUAUUUCGUCAAGAAUUGGGUUAGCGGAUUGCUGAUUCGCAGAAUAAUAUUUGCCAGAAAAAAAAAUUGUUAUUUGAAUGGCCAUAUAUGUUAUUUUCAACUUAACUUUAGUUUCAGCUUAGUAAUUUCGGUUGCUUUGCGCCAGCCCCAGUUCGACUCAAACGUUCGUAGGUGUAUAAUAGCACCAAAGUUUCGUGGGUCCGGGAACAGUGCGUUGGUCAUUGAGCGAGAGUCUUGGUCGGGCUUCUUUAACGUGAACAUAUGUCUCCGCCACGGGUGAUAUACGAAGUUGUGCCUCAAUCAAACAAACUGCCAACUGGCAUGCAUGACGCGAGAAAAACCCAUGUAGACUUACCAUCAUUGUUUCUGCAUGUUCAUGAUGUUUAAAGGUGAUAAAGUGAAUUUUCGGUCGUCAGCUAGCGCUUUGGAUUGCGUCGGAGGAUUGCUGUUGAUUCCUAGUAACCUAUGCCAAUAGUCGUGUGCAUUAGGUGGGGGCUGCGUGGUAUGUUUUAUGCGAUCUCAGGUACAGUCAUCAGCAGUGGGUUUGUUGAUUUCAAUACAAAUUGCUCGGUGA
rnacentral:misc_RNA from 1 species